UGCAGCAUGAGGUAAUACAGUAGGGGGAGGUGCAGUGUGAGGUAAUACAGUAGGGAGAGGUGGGCGUAAGGUAAUACAGUAAGGGCAGGUGCAGCAUGAGGUAAUACAGUAGGGAGAGGUGAGCGUAAGGUAAUACAGUAGGGGCAGGUGCAACGUGAGGUAAUACAGUAGGGGGAGGUGCAGCGUGAGGUAAUACAGUAGGGGGAGGUGCAGCGUGAGGUAAUACAGUAGGGGAGGUGCAGCAUGAGGUAAUACAGUAGGGGGAGGUGCAGUGUGAGGUAAUACAGUAGGGAGAGGUGGGCGUAAGGUAAUACAGUAAGGGCAGGUGCAGCAUGAGGUAAUACAGUAGGGAGAGGUGAGCGUAAGGUAAUACAGUAGGGGCAGGUGCAACGUGAGGUAAUACAGUAGGGGGAGGUGCAGCGUGAGGUAAUACAGUAGGGGGAGAUGCAGCGUGAGGUAAUACAGUAGGGGCAGGUGCAGCAUGAGGUAAUACAGUAGGGGGAGGUGCAGCGUGAGGUAAUACAGUAGGGGGAGGUGCAGCGUGAGGUAAUACAGUAGGGGCAGGUGCAGC